CGCGGGGCGUGUCGCUGCGGUCCGGAGACGAACAGGCGACGCCGUUUCGCACGGCUUAGCGACAGAGCGCGGGCCCGCGACCGCCGACGCGUCGAGCUCGCCGGCGUCAAACAUCGAUCGUUCGCCAGCGUCCGCGGCGGGCGCGGGACAAGCCGCGUACUUCCCGGGGGGGCGAACGCGAAACACGAAAGCCCGCGCGCAUUGUUCCCUGUGAAAAACGUACCGAACACGAGGCUGCUUUUUCCCUUCUUCUUUUUUUUUUUCACGUUGCGACUUGCAUCUAUAAUGGAUGAGAGAGGAGGGAAAAAAGUGUAAAGAAAUAGCAUAUACUUACCGUGCUUAGGAUUAAGACAUACUACCGUAAAAGCCAUCGCAGUCCCGUUAGCCCGGAGGGAGCGUGCGUUGUGUGUCACGCGCCCGCGUCGAAGUGCCGGGUUUUUCAGACGACUUCCGCCUGGGAUCCCGCUCGCGUUGGGUGCGCGCGCGUGCGAAGCUUUAAGUGCCGAUUGGCUCGCGGCCGCCCCGCGCGGGUUCGAAACGACGUUGCCUUAGCGCGCGGUUCGGCUGCCGUUGGGACUCGGAAGUUCUUCAGUCAGGCGCGACUGCGUGCUUGUGGGUUUUGUAGUCUUUUUCUGUCAGGGGAUCUCAUCCUAAAGUGGAACUCAUGCUAAAAUCCUUUCUAAAUCCAGAAGUCCUGAAAAAUUCCAACAGUGGUGACGUUAUUAUUAUUAUAACUAUUAUUAUGAUCAUUAUUAUUAUUAUUAUUAUAUGAUUAAGUGCCUGUUAAUUAUCCCUUUAACCUGCUGUUUUGUGGAGAGUUCCAGGAGAUUGGCUUGAAUGUUUUAGGAUGCACACACGACUGACCCAGAUAGAAGCUCGAUCACAGAAGCCCCGUCUAUUCCUCCCGGUCUUUCCUGUUCCUCAGAUUAAAGAAUGCUCCGGAAACAGUCUCCAUCCGUGUCUAAAUAGUUUUCUGUCCGAGCUGGGGAGGGGUGGAGGGGGGGGUGUGACUGGGGGGGGUCUGAAACCUCCCCUCGAACCGCGCACGUCCGCGCGUCCGAAAGGGAAUCGUUUGGAAAGAGCCGAGCGUGAGACUGGCGGCGGCUCGACAGCGCAGAGAGGAAACGUGUCAUUUCGCCUGAUGUACAUUUGUGUGUGUAAAUAAGUUAUGUUGUCUUGAUGUACCUGCACCAUAAAAAAGUCUGUACUUAAAAAAGUAUUAUGAAUGGAGGAAGAAAGCUAAGCUAGGAGCAGAGUGGGAUUCGUUUGACAGGAUUCGGUUUGGGAUGUGAGAGGCUGUAUUCUAGCACAGCACCUGUAGUGUGCCACCCGGCCUUUUGCACAUUGCGUUGGCCUCUCUGGCCACUUCCUGUCCGUGUUAGGAGUUCCGUGCUGCGCUGCUUUAUUGAGUUUUAUUUCGUUCGUUUUAUUGGCUAAGAGCAUUUAGAACACCGCCUAUGUCUUCAGUUCUCCUUACCUGUAGUGUUCUCUGCUCUCACCUCUGAGGAACAUAUUAUCAUUAUUAUUACUAUGAUUAUUAUGAUUAUUAUUAUUAAAAUGCAGGUGUCUUCAGUAUGGACAUAUUCUGUAUGUGGGAGACAAACCCAAGAAAUUAGAUGUUAUAUGAUGAAAUGCAGAAUUUGUUUUAUUUUUAUAAGCUACUGAAACACUUUACAUGACUAGUGUUCUAAACCAUGCCUGUGAGUCUUGAACUUGCUCUGCUUUCCUGUUUGCUGAGUUUACUACUAAGCAGAGUCUUAGAACAAACGGAAAAACUUAAAACCAUAAAAACGUUUUUUCCUCAAAUAUCUCUCUUCCCUCUAUCGGACACCACCAUUUAUUAAUCAAAAUUGAUUUGAUUUGUGGGUUUCAACAUGCUGUCUGAUGGUUCAGAGCAGUGGUUCUUUGUUUUUAUGGACCUCUGAAUCGACUGAAGGUUUUAGCGUACCAUGUAAAACCGUAAGAUUGCAUAUUCUAAAUGCACAUGCCCUUACUUUUAGUUAUCAAUGGGAUGUGAAUGCCAUUUGUUUGAAUACAUUCUGAAAAAGACCAGCACCAGCUAGCUACAUAUGACUGAUUUCAUUUUCUUCAAAUGUAGUGAUCGCUAGUGGUCCACAGCCCAUAGUUUUGCGAACCCCUGUUUUAGAAAUGGAUUUAAAUUAAAAAUAAAUGGAAACAAACAUUUGUAUAGCUCUCCUACGGAUUUUCAGUUUACAAGAGUACUGCAUUGUUUGCAUUUCACUCAGUUUUUGGAGUGAGAUUAUGGCCAUACAAAAUUCAGGUUUUGUGCAGUUUUUGUUUGUUUUUUUGGUGUCGUCACGUCAUUUACGGUUGUGUUUCUCCCUGAACUGUAUUGGAAAUCCUCUAAGUUGCCAUUAAGGCCUUUUGCGUGUCUUUAACUCCAAUUUGAAUGUCCAUUUUUGAUGAGUUAACCUUUCCGUCCUAUGACUGCAGAACUCACAUUGGCGUGUACAAAUCAACAAAGGCAACAUGCAAUUAAGCAAAUUCCUCAAGGUUAAGGACAAAUCGUAUUGUAUUUAGACUGAAUAGGCCUAGGUUGUAAGCAUGUACAUGAACUAUAAAGUACACAUAAAACCAAUCAUUUUUGACCACAACAUUUUGUACGCUGUCCACACAAACACCCAAAUACACACACACACACACACACACACACACACUCGGAUACAUUCAGCUGAUGCUAUGGCAACUGGUACUUCUGUUUGUGUCAUUUUCUUUUGUUGUUCUGCUGAAUCCAUUAUCGUAGCUUUCUUCAAAUGAAUGUGUGAUAUAAUAAUCAAUCAAUUUCACAUUAAAAGGCUAUAUUUACUAAGAAAAA